rnacentral:rRNA from 1 species
AUUGAACGCUGGCGGCAGGCCUAACACAUGCAAGUCGAACGGUAACAGGAAGAAGCUUGCUUCUUUGCUGACGAGUGGCGGACGGGUGAGUAAUAUCUGGGAAACUGCCUGAUGGAGGGGGAUAACUACUGGAAACGGUAGCUAAUACCGCAUAACGUCGCAAGACCAAAGAGGGGGACCUUCGGGCCUCUUGCCAUCGGAUGUGCCCAGAUGGGAUUAGCUAGUAGGUGGGGUAACGGCUCACCUAGGCGACGAUCCCUAGCUGGUCUGAGAGGAUGACCAGCCACACUGGAACUGAGACACGGUCCAGACUCCUACGGGAGGCAGCAGUGGGGAAUAUUGCACAAUGGGCGCAAGCCUGAUGCAGCCAUGCCGCGUGUAUGAAGAAGGCCUUCGGGUUGUAAAGUACUUUCAGCGGGGAGGAAGGGAGUAAAGUUAAUACCUUGACUCAUUGACGUUACCCGCAGAAGAAGCACCGGCUAACUCCGUG